AAUUGAAACCAAAUAGAGGUAUAUCACUGUUAAUGAUAAAAUUGAAUUAUAUUCCAAUU
rnacentral:tRNA from 1 species